CCUACGGGAGGCUGCAGUAGGGAAUAUUCCACAAUGGGGGAAACCCUGAUGCAGCAACGCCGCGUGGAGGAUGAAGGUUUUAGGAUUGUAAACUCCUUUUGUUAGAGAAGAUUAUGACGGUAUCUAACGAAUAAGCACCGGCUAACUCCGUGCCAGCAGCCGCGGUAAUACGGAGGGUGCAAGCGUUACUCGGAAUCACUGGGAGUAAAGAGUUCGGGGGCGGGGUUAUAAGGCAGAUGUGAAAUCCUGUAGCUUAAAUACAGAACUGCAUUGGAUACUGUUAAUCUGGAGUGUGGGAGAGGUAGGUGGAAUUCUUGGUGUAGGGGUAAAAUCCGUAGAGAUCAAGAGGAAUACUCAUUGCGAAGGCGACCUGCUGGAACAUUACUGACGCUGAUGCACGAAAGCGUGGGGAGCAAACAGGAUUAGAUACCCGAGUAGUC
rnacentral:rRNA from 1 species